AAAACACGAUUACUCCCCUUCUUCUUUUUUUGCACAAACACCAAAACCACUUAACAAAAUGGCUUCCUUUUUCUUGUCCUUACUUGUUUUGUUUGUUGGUGUUCUUAUCAUUAUUCCACAAGGUCUUGCUAAUGAUGACAUAAUAUUGCAACGAAACGGUAAGGAUGGAAGACUCUCAGUUCCAUUUGGACCAAUUAAAAAACCACCAAUUAGAAAACAACCAAAUGAAGACCUACCACCUGAAAACCUACCAACUGAAAACCCACCAACUAAAGACCCACCAUUUGAAAAAGAACAAUUACUUUAAAGCUAAUAUCCAUUUUCUAAAGCAUGCAUGAGAUAAGGCAUAUUAUUAUCUAUUAAAUAAGUUACCGGUGCUUUGUUUUAUAUAUUUUGUACAAUGUUUGGCCAAGUUAAUAACAUCGUAUGUGUGGCAUGAAUAAAACCAUGAUAGAAAAAUUGUACUCUCUCAUCAAAUUAUUUACAAAUAAAUAAAUGUUAUGAUUUUAAGGUUGUGUUUGUACCGGUUGAUAUGUUAUAUAUAUAAUUUAUGAUCUAACUACUUUAAUAUAUUAUAUAAGCACAAACUUAUAUCAUAUUUUGCUACUAUACCUUUCUAUAAUUAAUUAGUUAGACUUUGUAUAAAAAAAAGAUUUUGAUUAAUCAAAAACAUGAAGGCCUUAUACUAUUAUACACUAUUUUUUAAGUUUACUUUGAGUUUUCUUUUGACGCUAACAAAAAUCCUAAUCAAAAAUUUUAUUAGGUUGUAGAUGAACCAUUAAAGAUCUCGUUCUAUAUUAAAAUAGAUUAUAUUAUAAACCACUAUUAUUUUUUUUUAUCGAACUAUAAAUUGUUGGUUUGAACUCUAAUACAAUAGAAUAUUGGGAAAAAAAUACAAUUUUAGGAGUUGGGAAUGUAGCAUAUGGACUAUCGAGCUUUGAAGGGGUAUCAAGUAUGCAAUAAGAAUAAUAGGAGAAAAAGAAUGGGUUUUGUAGGUUUGAGAAAGUGAUUUAGAAGGUACUAAUUAAUUUGUUAGAUUUAUUAGUGAGUAUUUGUACUUUAACCAAUCUGAUUCUUAUAGAGUGAAAUCAAUAUUUGAUAAAUGGAAAGAAUAAAUUAUUUUUUCUGCAAACAACUACAAGUACUAAUGUUUUAUUUCGAGUUACGCAGGAUCACGAAGUGCGAAAAAAAUAGUAUAUAUAUAAGAUAGAUAAAAUAAAACAAAACCAAAUAUAGUAUUGCAUAAAUUGUAUCUAAAUAAUUUAAUCUUAAUCUAAAUAUAACUUAUUUAAUAUAUAUAAUGUUGUGAUGGUUAAAUAUUUUUUAGACAAUAAUUUAUGAUUUUUUUCCUCAUAUAAUUAUUUCAGGUAACUAUGUAGUGCGAUGUACAACUAAUAUAAAGGUUAACACAUGGAGAUAGCCAAUGACACUAAAGGGCACUAGUUAUGAAUGAUUUAUAUUGUAAAUACUCUUGUUGUUUUUCCAAGAGUUGUAACAUUGUUGAAUAAAUCACACCAAAUUUAUCAUAUGAUGGAGAAAUUAAGGCCCCUAACUAGUAUAAAACAUGAUUAUUCCCCUUCAUAUAUUUUAAUCACAAACAUUAAAAUCAC
rnacentral:lncRNA from 1 species